GCGUAUUGGAAAAUGUGCCUGGUAUAAA
rnacentral:rRNA from 1 species